AUAUUGCCCAUCCUGUUCUGGAAUCAUCUGGAUUCGUUCAGUCUCCUCCACCCCAAAUAUUUAUUUCACUUUAGCUCACAGGCUCUCAAAUCGCUUCCUGAUUUAAGCCCUUCUCUGUGCAGGGGUUGAAAGAGUCAUAAAUCACGAUGGAUUCGGUGAGGGUUGACAGUGCUCACAAAAUCCAAUCAGAAGCAGGCAAUAUCCUCUGCCUUCUCAACCUGAGAAGGUGUUUUCUUUUUUUAAAAAAAAAGCUACCUUAGCUCUAAUAGAAAGACGGCCCAUGAAAGCAGCUUAUCAUUUCUUUGAGACGUCCAGAGCUUCCAGGCUAACCAAGUGCCAAAAAAGCAUUUGACCUCAUGAAGGAUUACGUGAUGGCGACUGAUCCAUUAAAUGCUUUGUAAGCCGGAAGCCAGGUUCAAGUCCUUCUUAAGGGAUUUAUUUAAAGCAUUGUAAUAAGGUCACAGAUUCAAAAGAGGAGAAGCGUUGCUGUACAUUAUUAAUGAUCCCUG